rnacentral:rRNA from 1 species
CAGCCGUAAACUAUGCUCGCUAGGUGUCAGGCAUGGCGCGACCGUGUCUGGUGCCGCAGGGAAGCCGUGAAGCGAGCCACCUGGGAAGUACGGCCGCAAGGCUGAAACUUAAAGGAAUUGGCGGGGGAGCACCACAACAGGUGGAGCCUGCGGUUUAAUUGGACUCAACGCCGGAAAUCUCACCGGAUAAGACAGCAGAAUGAUUGCCGGGCUGAAGACUCUGCAUGACUAGCUGAGAGGUGGUGCAUGGCGUAGACGUCU